rnacentral:sRNA from 1 species
AGCCCACACCGUGGAGCUAAACGAUAUGUUUGGCCAGAUCCAGUCGCCUGGUUAUCCAGACUCCUAUCCCAGUGAUUCAGAGGUGACUUGGAAUAUCACUGUCCCAGAUGGGUUUCGGAUCAAGCUUUACUUCAUGCACUUCAACUUGGAAUCCUCCUACCUUUGUGAAUAUGACUAUGUGAAGGUAGAAACUGAGGACCAGGUGCUGGCAACCUUCUGUGGCAGGGAGACCACAGACACAGAGCAGACUCCCGGCCAGGAGGUGGUCCUCUCCCCUGGCUCCUUCAUGUCCAUCACUUUCCGGUCAGAUUUCUCCAAUGAGGAGCGUUUCACAGGCUUUGAUGCCCACUACAUGGCUGUGGAUGUGGACGAGUGCAAGGAGAGGGAGGACGAGGAGCUGUCCUGUGACCACUACUGCCACAACUACAUUGGCGGCUACUACUGCUCCUGCCGCUUCGGCUACAUCCUCCACACAGACAACAGGACCUGCCGAGUGGAGUGCAGUGACAACCUCUUCACUCAAAGGACUGGGGUGAUCACCAGCCCUGACUUCCCAAACCCUUACCCCAAGAGCUCUGAAUGCCUCUAUACCAUCGAGCUGGAGGAGGGUUUCAUGGUCAACCUGCAGUUUGAGGACAUAUUUGACAUUGAGGACCAUCCUGAGGUGCCCUGCCCCUAUGACUACAUCAAGGUGAGCCUGCAAUGAACACUUGUCCUGGAGAUGCUGGAAAAUCUUGGCUGAGUUGGGAAAAUUGAUAUUGCGGAACCUU